UACAGAGGGUGCAAGCGUUAAUCGGAGUUACUGGGCGUAAAGGGCGCGUAGGCGGUCAUUUAAGUUAGAUGUGAAAUCCCUGGGCUUAACCUAGGAACUGCAUCUGAUACUGGGUGACUGGAGUAUUGUAGAGGGUAGUGGAAUUUCCGGUGUAGCGGUGAAAUGCGCAGAUAUCAGGAGGAACACCGAUGGCGAAGGCAGGUCUCUGGGCCACUACUGACGCUGAGAAGCGAAAGCAUGGGGAGCGAACAGG
rnacentral:rRNA from 1 species